rnacentral:tmRNA from 1 species
CUUUAGCUGCUUAAUAACUGAAUUAUAGUAAGUUCAAGCCUAGGCGCACAAGGUGCGCAAGCUAAAUGUCUCCGGAAAGCCUUGGUUUAUGGCGUUCUUUUUUGAGGCAUCGUAAAAAUAAACUAAGGUGUUAUUUUGCUUUGAUGUAACACCAAGAUUUAAAAGCUAAGUUUUAAGUAGGUUGUUUUUUGCCAGCUUAUUACCUAAAAUUAAGUUAAAACUAAACGUGUAGAAAGCCCUUUGGUUACUUGUUUGGACCCGAGUUCGAAUCUCGGCGACUCCACAU